rnacentral:rRNA from 1 species
UUAAGCGACUAAGCGUACACGGUGGAUGCCCUGGCAGUCAGAGGCGAUGAAGGACGUGCUAAUCUGCGAUAAGCGUCGGUGAGGUGAUAUGAACCGUUAUAACCGGCGAUUUCCGAAUGGGGAAACCCAGUGUGUUUCGACACACUAUCAUUAACUGAAUCCAUAGGUUAAUGAGGCGAACCGGGGGAACUGAAACAUCUAAGUACCCCGAGGAAAAGAAAUCAACCGAGAUUCCCCCAGUAGCGGCGAGCGAACGGGGAGGAGCCCAGAGCCUGAAUCAGUGUGUGUGUUAGUGGAAGCGUCUGGAAAGGCGUGCGAUACAGGGUGACAGCCCCGUACACAAAAAUGCACAUAUUGUGAGCUCGAUGAGUAGGGCGGGACACGUGGUAUCCUGUCUGAAUAUGGGGGGAGCAUCCUCCAAGGCUAAAUACUCCUGACUGACCGAUAGUGAACCAGUACCGUGAGGGAAAGGCGAAAAGAACCCCGGCGAGGGGAGUGAAAAAGAACCUGAAACCGUGUACGUACAAGCAGUGGGAGCCUCUUAAUGGGGUGACUGCGUACCUUUUGUAUAAUGGGUCAGCGACUUAUAUUCUGUAGCAAGGUUAACCGAAUAGGGGAGCCGAAGGGAAACCGAGUCUUAACUGGGCGUUAAGUUGCAGGGUAUAGACCCGAAACCCGGUGAUCUAGCCAUGGGCAGGUUGAAGGUUGGGUAACACUAACUGGAGGACCGAACCGACUAAUGUUGAAAAAUUAGCGGAUGACUUGUGGCUGGGGGGGAAAGGCCAAUCAAACCGGGAGAUAGCUGGUUCUCCCCGAAAGCUAUUUAGGUAGCGCCUCGUGAAUUCAUCUCCGGGGGUAGAGCACUGUUUCGGCAAGGGGGUCAUCCCGACUUACCAACCCGAUGCAAACUGCGAAUACCGGAGAAUGUUAUCACGGGAGACACACGGCGGGUGCUAACGUCCGUCGUGAAGAGGGAAACAACCCAGACCGCCAGCUAAGGUCCCAAAGUCAUGGUUAAGUGGGAAACGAUGUGGGAAGGCCCAGACAGCCAGGAUGUUGGCUUAGAAGCAGCCAUCAUUUAAAGAAAGCGUAAUAGCUCACUGGUCGAGUCGGCCUGCGCGGAAGAUGUAACGGGGCUAAACCAUGCACCGAAGCUGCGGCAGCGACGCUUAUGCGUUGUUGGGUAGGGGAGCGUUCUGUAAGCCUGUGAAGGUGGCCUGUGAGGGUUGCUGGAGGUAUCAGAAGUGCGAAUGCUGACAUAAGUAACGAUAAAGCGGGUGAAAAGCCCGCUCGCCGGAAGACCAAGGGUUCCUGUCCAACGUUAAUCGGGGCAGGGUGAGUCGACCCCUAAGGCGAGGCCGAAAGGCGUAGUCGAUGGGAAACAGGUUAAUAUUCCUGUACUUGGUGUUACUGCGAAGGGGGGACGGAGAAGGCUAUGUUGGCCGGGCGACGGUUGUCCCGGUUUAAGCGUGUAGGCUGGUUUUCCAGGCAAAUCCGGAAAACCAAGGCUGAGGCGUGAUGACGAGGCACUACGGUGCUGAAGCGACAAAUGCCCUGCUUCCAGGAAAAGCCUCUAAGCAUCAGGUAACAUCAAAUCGUACCCCAAACCGACACAGGUGGUCAGGUAGAGAAUACCAAGGCGCUUGAGAGAACUCGGGUGAAGGAACUAGGCAAAAUGGUGCCGUAACUUCGGGAGAAGGCACGCUGAUAUGUAGGUGAAGCGACUUGCUCGUGGAGCUGAAAUCAGUCGAAGAUACCAGCUGGCUGCAACUGUUUAUUAAAAACACAGCACUGUGCAAACACGAAAGUGGACGUAUACGGUGUGACGCCUGCCCGGUGCCGGAAGGUUAAUUGAUGGGGUUAGCGGCAACGCGAAGCUCUUGAUCGAAGCCCCGGUAAACGGCGGCCGUAACUAUAACGGUCCUAAGGUAGCGAAAUUCCUUGUCGGGUAAGUUCCGACCUGCACGAAUGGCGUAAUGAUGGCCAGGCUGUCUCCACCCGAGACUCAGUGAAAUUGAACUCGCUGUGAAGAUGCAGUGUACCCGCGGCAAGACGGAAAGACCCCGUGAACCUUUACUAUAGCUUGACACUGAACAUUGAGCCUUGAUGUGUAGGAUAGGUGGGAGGCUUUGAAGUGUGGACGCCAGUCUGCAUGGAGCCGACCUUGAAAUACCACCCUUUAAUGUUUGAUGUUCUAACGUUGGCCCGUAAUCCGGGUUGCGGACAGUGUCUGGUGGGUAGUUUGACUGGGGCGGUCUCCUCCUAAAGAGUAACGGAGGAGCACGAAGGUUGGCUAAUCCUGGUCGGACAUCAGGAGGUUAGUGCAAUGGCAUAAGCCAGCUUGACUGCGAGCGUGACGGCGCGAGCAGGUGCGAAAGCAGGUCAUAGUGAUCCGGUGGUUCUGAAUGGAAGGGCCAUCGCUCAACGGAUAAAAGGUACUCCGGGGAUAACAGGCUGAUACCGCCCAAGAGUUCAUAUCGACGGCGGUGUUUGGCACCUCGAUGUCGGCUCAUCACAUCCUGGGGCUGAAGUAGGUCCCAAGGGUAUGGCUGUUCGCCAUUUAAAGUGGUACGCGAGCUGGGUUUAGAACGUCGUGAGACAGUUCGGUCCCUAUCUGCCGUGGGCGCUGGAGAACUGAGGGGGGCUGCUCCUAGUACGAGAGGACCGGAGUGGACGCAUCACUGGUGUUCGGGUUGUCAUGCCAAUGGCACUGCCCGGUAGCUAAAUGCGGAAGAGAUAAGUGCUGAAAGCAUCUAAGCACGAAACUUGCCCCGAGAUGAGUUCUCCCUGACUCCUUGAGAGUCCUGAAGGAACGUUGAAGACGACGACGUUGAUAGGCCGGGUGUGUAAGCGCAGCGAUGCGUUGAGCUAACCGGUACUAAUGAACCGUGAGGCUUAACCUU